ensembl:lncRNA
AUGGAAGUCUCGUCAGUUUUGUUAGUUCAUUAUGUCUCUCCUGGGCUUGUGUUCCUCCUCCCUGCCUCUCCACAGAGGGAUGUGCCAGGGACGAUCGCUCCCCCUCCUCUGGAUUUGGUACGUGGCCAGAGGACAACGCGCCCGGCCCCGCCGCGCUGCCCCCGGGGCUGCCAGCACCCCUUUCCCUGGACUGUGACGCCAUCGUGGCCCCAGCCACGGGCUGUGUGCUGCCUCCAUCCCUCCAUCCCUCCCUCCAUCCCCAGGACCUCCUCCCUGCCUGAGCUUUGCCAUCCGGCUGCACUGAAACCCAGCCGGGGCCAGGUCCUGGGCGUCCCCAGCUCCCCCUGCCCCGGGGGCAGCUCGGCUGAAGGAAUCGAAAGGCAACAUGGGUUUUGCAUGUUUUCUGGCAUGAAUUAAAACACUUAACUUGUGUCUGUGUGAGUGUAAGUUUGUUUGUUCUAGCGUUUGUGUAACCGUUAGCAACAGGUCUUGGCCCAACGGAUUGAUCCAUCAAGGUUUUCCUCUUGCUUCGGUGAAGACUUGGCUUUGAGAAAUACUAACUGUCCUUGUCUCACCCCUUCUCCCACCUCCACCCUCCCCUCCCCAGGACGACCAGAAAAAUUUGAAAAAUGCUUUUUUUUUCUUUUUUUUUUUUUUUUAAAGUAUGAUGCACUGGGUUUUUGUUCUCAUCCAUUCUGCUUGUUUUAAAGUCAGGGUUAUUAUAUUAUUUUUUUCCUUCUUCAAACUUCUAUAUAUAGAACAGCUGUAAAAUAUCUAACCUUUUUUUUUUUUCCUCCACAUUCUUCUGAUUGGAGAGCAUCCAGUCUUGCCAAAUAAUCAGCCAUCCUUAUGGGAAUACCGAACAAAAAAAAAAAAAGUACGAGUAUUUUUGUACCAUGUGUAAUAAGGAAAUAUUUAUGCAUCAUAAAGAAUUUCUUGUGUGUUUGUGUGCAAUUAAUUAUUAUUAUUAUUAUUAAAGAGAAAUUGUAAUCCUGUAAGAUAAGUUAAUGUUUAGUUAAAAGCUUGAAAAAGAAGGGUUGUCUUCUGUACCAAUGAUUCAGUCAGGCAUAGUAAACAAGAAAUUGUGCAAUUUUUGUUUUAGCAUCUUAUUGCUUGGUAUUGAAGUGCUUUAAGUAUUAUCUGACCAUGGCUGUCUCGCUUGUAUUAAAAGAUUUGAGAAUAAGUUGCUCUAUAAUUGCUGAUCCUAUGAGAAUGUGAAACUGGAUAAUAUAUGAAAUGCAACCAAAAAAAAAAUAUAUAUACCCAGAGGCUGCUGUGACUUUUUCUGUGGUCUUGGGUGUUUUCUUGUGGGAAUGGUGUGGGAUGCUUCAGGCCUGGCCUGGCCCCGUUUCCCAGGCUGGAAGGAUGCGGGCUGCUUUGGGAUGCAGCUGAG